AUUGAAUUUCUUAAAAUACAAAAAUGACUUGUAAAAUUCUUUUAAUUACUUGAAAAUGGUAAUGAAUAUUUUUAGGAGUUUUGAAAAUAUUAAAAAUAUUAUUUUUGUAGAAGUUUCAUGUUUAAAUAUUUCUUGAACACAAUUAACUUCUAAAUUACGUAUAAAUUUCAGUAAUGCUUCAUAAAUCCCGAAACUUUUAUUUUAUUAGUUUUAUAAUAUUCCGGGAUUUAUAAAAAUAUGUUGGUGAUGUUUCCAAGAUACUAUAAUAGCGAGAUAUUCCGAUAAUAUAGUUAAAAGCGGGUCCGAGUCAAUUGGUUAUUCAGAUUAUUAAAGGCACGUGGAAGUACAAGACUUAGCCACGUACCCUUUUACAGCACCGCCUCGUUUUGCCGACCUUCAUAUUAUCAUAAAUCAAAAUCUCAUUCCUCUAAAUCUAUCGUCUCUCUCUCUCUCGCAUAUUUCUCCUUCCUCCCUCAAACCAACAGUCGCCUCCCCUAUAUGCUGUUUGUCGACAUCGAUGCCCUCCGUUUUUCUCUCCAACACUGCCGCUGUUCUCAGUUCUGCGAUUGAAGUCGCGACAACCGCUGUCUAAUCGACUACCGAUGCUCCGUUUCUGGCAACCCAGGCUCUGUCCUCCACCUUCUGACCAUAUUCUUGUUCGAAUUGAACGAGACGUUGAUCGAGGCAUUGAUCGAGAAGUGAUUGAAAUGGGUAUUCAAAAAUAGCUAAGUUGUGUUGCAAGUUGAAGUUGGGCAGAGAUUGUUAUAGAUAGAAUCUUGUCAGAAGCUGGCAGAAAGGAAUGAUAUGGCACUACAUAGUGUUAUUAGAAAUCUGAGCUAGACACCGGAGUUAAGAUAAUGUUAAAGAUGGUUCGCCUAUUUAGGCUAAGCAUAAGAGUAAGGCUAGGCGAGGAUUGCAAGUGACUAAGUUUCAACCUGAUGGUCAGGAAGAGUAUCCAAGAUCGAGUCUUUGGGACUAGUGGUAAUUAGAGUUGUCUAAAUUUGAUUUAGUUGUAAAAACAUGUAAUAGAAUUUAUUAGUUUUAUUUUUCUGAUUUCAAUACUAUAGCCUGUUUGCGAUCCUGUUUUAAAGGGGGUUAAACUUUGUUCUUUUAAAUCUUUUAUUAAAGCUUUCAGGUUUUAAAUCCUCUGUUUUUUUAAGCUUUUCAAAAAUACAGGUUUUCAAAACUGUAAAUCAUAUUUAAAAUAUCCAGGUUUUGAAAUUUCUAUUUUACUCUCUUUCAAAUAUAUAGGUUUUAAAUUUUUUUUCAUAUAGUGGCACCAAAUCCAGACCCCCGGAUUUGAGGGCUGUCACAGUUGGUAUCAGAGCUGGAGGUUAUAAGUUAUUGAAAUCAGAAUAUAGGUGGUAAUAAUAGGUUUUAAAAAAAAAAAAAGAUUACGUGGUGUGACCUCAUAUAGAGGUAUCGUAAGACUAUUUGGGGAUAGUCUCUCCGAGCAGAAUAGAAUGAAGCUAGAUGAUUAAGUUUAAGUGUUUAUAGUUAUAGACAUCACAAUUCCUAAUUCUAGUUCUUUCAGUCCUAGUAUAUUGACCAAUUUAGAGUUAUAUCAUAUUAAGAAGGUCAGAAUUAGACUAUCAGAAGAACCUUAAAAUUUGAAACAUUUGAGGUCGAACUAGUAGACAUUCUCACACAGUCUAAUGUAUCAUUGUAGUAUCUGCCAAGUGUUGAGUGCUAUUUGGAGAUUCACCUUUUGAUUCUUGUCAGAGAUAUAUAGAAUUGGCGAAUAGACAUGUCCGCGUUUAAAGCUUUGUAUAUAUUUAAGGAGUGAGUGUUAGAGCUACGUAGAUUUCGUGUUAGAUUACUCGAUCUAGUACUUAUGAGUGAGUUAAGACGUCAACAUUAUAUGUUGAUAAUUUUAUAAAGUAGGAUAAGACUUCUGAUCGACAACGAUAUCAAUGAUGGGAUCUGCAGAGGCUAUUACGAGUCAACGAUAAUAUAUGCAAGUGAUCAGUAGAACGUCAAGAAGAAUCACUGGAAUCAGAACGAGUCAUCAAAGGAAUCGAUCAAGAAGACAUCUGUGAAAAUACUGGCAAUACCUUCCUCACUGUUGAUUAUAUUGAUUUUUUUUUUCCCUCAUCAUUGAUUUGUUUAGACAUCACUUUCAUAAAGUUUUUUUGGUGAAGAAUAUAUCUUUCCCUCUCACUUGAGUUCUCAAAUGAUACAUGUGUUUACCGUAACACCUUUGGAAUCUAUUCAAUUUUUGAUAUUUUUGGACCCUUUCAUAUUCUCUACUCUAACUGAGGUGAACAACCCUACUUACAGGGGACACAAGGACUAUCUGUCUGUGUGAUAGAAGUUGGAUGGGACGCCAUCACUUGUGUGUGUUGUAUACACAAGAAGGUUAACUAUCUUUAGUAGUGUCUUAAUCCAGACACGCAACACUGAGUUCUUUAGAUCAUAUUGGUCUCUCAGUUAUUCCCUCAUUCAAAUGAGAUUUAUUCAACAAACUCAUAAUUAUAUGACCAUAAUCAUGUGACAUUUGCUUUGAUAUAUGAAAUCUGUCAUACUUUUAAAUCUUCAAAAUUCUUGUUAUCUCUAAUAGUUUGAAGGUAUGCCAAUCAAGUUUCCAAUAUGAAUUAAGACUUUGUAGUAAGGUGUACCAUGGAUAAAAGCAGAUGACAACGCGGGUAUCCGGCAGCGAUCAAGAAAAAUAUUAUAUCAUAAACAAAGAGUAUUACGGAUUAUAGAGAUCGUACGCUCCAGUUUGCUUUCCGCUGAUUCCGAGGACGGAAUCUUUUUAAAGGGGGUAGAUUGUGACGACUCGGAUUUUAGAUAUUAUUUUAUUAUUUUUAUUCAUGAUUAUUCGAGAAAAAUGAGGAAUAAAAUUCUAUAUUUUAUUCCAGUUUUAUAAUUUUCAAAUAUUUUCCGACUCAUUAGGAUAUCGAAAUUUUGUUGUGUGUUUUGAAUUGAAUACCAUGUUAAAUAUAUGAAUUACUUGUUCUAUGAUUUAACUUUAGUAUCUGGAUGUGAUUUAUGCUUGUGUGUAUAUCUGUUACAAACUUUUGUGUUGUUUUAUAAAUAUUUAUGAUUUUCUUUAAAAUGGAUUAUAGGAAAUUGAAUUUCUUAAAAUACAAAAAUGACUUGUAAAAUUCUUUUAAUUACUUGAAAAUGGUAAUGAAUAUUUUUAGGAGUUUUGAAAAUAUUAAAAAUAUUAUUUUUGUAGAAGUUUCAUGUUUAAAUAUUUCUUGAACACAAUUAACUUCUAAAUUACGUAUAAAUUUCAGUAAUGCUUCAUAAAUCCCGAAACUUUUAUUUUAUUAGUUUUAUAAUAUUCCGGGAUUUAUAAAAAUAUGUUGGUGAUGUUUCCAAGAUACUAUAAUAGCGAGAUAUUCCGAUAAUAUAGUUAAAAGCGGGUCCGAGUCAAUUGGUUAUUCAGAUUAUUAAAGGCACGUGGAAGUACAAGACUUAGCCACGUACCCUUUUACAGCACCGCCUCGUUUUGCCGACCUUCAUAUUAUCAUAAAUCAAAAUCUCAUUCCUCUAAAUCUAUCGUCUCUCUCUCUCUCUCUCGCAUAUUUCUCCUUCCUCCCUCAAACCAACAGUCGCCUCCCCUAUAUGCUGUUUGUCGACAUCGAUGCCCUCCGUUUUUCUCUCCAACACUGCCGCUGUUCUCAGUUCUGCGAUUGAAGUCGCGACAACCGCUGUCUAAUCGACUACCGAUGCUCCGUUUCUGGCAACCCAGGCUCUGUCCUCCACCUUCUGACCAUAUUCUUGUUCGAAUUGAACGAGACGUUGAUCGAGGCAUUGAUCGAGAAGUGAUUGAAAUGGGUAUUCAAAAAUAGCUAAGUUGUGUUGCAAGUUGAAGUUGGGCAGAGAUUGUUAUAGAUAGAAUCUUGUCAGAAGCUGGCAGAAAGGAAUGAUAUGGCACUACAUAGUGUUAUUAGAAAUCUGAGCUAGACACCGGAGUUAAGAUAAUGUUAAAGAUGGUUCGCCUAUUUAGGCUAAGCAUAAGAGUAAGGCUAGGCGAGGAUUGCAAGUGACUAAGUUUCAACCUGAUGGUCAGGAAGAGUAUCCAAGAUCGAGUCUUUGGGACUAGUGGUAAUUAGAGUUGUCUAAAUUUGAUUUAGUUGUAAAAACAUGUAAUAGAAUUUAUUAGUUUUAUUUUUCUGAUUUCAAUACUAUAGCCUGUUUGCGAUCCUGUUUUAAAGGGGGUUAAACUUUGUUCUUUUAAAUCUUUUAUUAAAGCUUUCAGGUUUUAAAUCCUCUGUUUUUUUAAGCUUUUCAAAAAUACAGGUUUUCAAAACUGUAAAUCAUAUUUAAAAUAUCCAGGUUUUGAAAUUUCUAUUUUACUCUCUUUCAAAUAUAUAGGUUUUAAAUUUUUUUUCAUAUAGUGGCACCAAAUCCAGACCCCCGGAUUUGAGGGCUGUCACAGUUGGUAUCAGAGCUGGAGGUUAUAAGUUAUUGAAAUCAGAAUAUAGGUGGUAAUAAUAGGUUUUAAAAAAAAAAAAAAGAUUACGUGGUGUGACCUCAUAUAGAGGUAUCGUAAGACUAUUUGGGGAUAGUCUCUCCGAGCAGAAUAGAAUGAAGCUAGAUGAUUAAGUUUAAGUGUUUAUAGUUAUAGACAUCACAAUUCCUAAUUCUAGUUCUUUCAGUCCUAGUAUAUUGACCAAUUUAGAGUUAUAUCAUAUUAAGAAGGUCAGAAUUAGACUAUCAGAAGAACCUUAAAAUUUGAAACAUUUGAGGUCGAACUAGUAGACAUUCUCACACAGUCUAAUGUAUCAUUGUAGUAUCUGCCAAGUGUUGAGUGCUAUUUGGAGAUUCACCUUUUGAUUCUUGUCAGAGAUAUAUAGAAUUGGCGAAUAGACAUGACCGCGUUUAAAGCUUUGUAUAUAUUUAAGGAGUGAGUGUUAGAGCUACGUAGAUUUCGUGUUAGAUUACUCGAUCUAGUACUUAUGAGUGAGUUAAGACGUCAACAUUAUAUGUUGAUAAUUUUAUAAAGUAGGAUAAGACUUCUGAUCGACAACGAUAUCAAUGAUGGGAUCUGCAGAGGCUAUUACGAGUCAACGAUAAUAUAUGCAAGUGAUCACUAGAACGUCAAGAAGAAUCACUGGAAUCAGAACGAGUCAUCAAAGGAAUCGAUCAAGAAGACAUCUGUGAAAAUACUGGCAAUACCUUCCUCACUGUUGAUUAUAUUGAUUUUUUUUUCCCUCAUCAUUGAUUUGUUUAGACAUCACUUUCAUAAAGUUUUUUUGGUGAAGAAUAUAUCUUUCCCUCUCACUUGAGUUCUCAAAUGAUACAUGUGUUUACCGUAACACCUUUGGAAUCUAUUCAAUUUUUGAUAUUUUUGGACCCUUUCAUAUUCUCUACUCUAACUGAGGUGAACAACCCUACUUACAGGGGACACAAGGACUAUCUGUCUGUGUGAUAGAAGUUGGAUGGGACGCCAUCACUUGUGUGUGUUGUAUACACAAGAAGGUUAACUAUCUUUAGUAGUGUCUUAAUCCAGACACGCAACACUGAGUUCUUUAGAUCAUAUUGGUCUCUCAGUUAUUCCCUCAUUCAAAUGAGAUUUAUUCAACAAACUCAUAAUUAUAUGACCAUAAUCAUGUGACAUUUGCUUUGAUAUAUGAAAUCUGUCAUACUUUUAAAUCUUCAAAAUUCUUGUUAUCUCUAAUAGUUUGAAGGUAUGCCAAUCAAGUUUCCAAUAUGAAUUAAGACUUUGUAGUAAGGUGUACCAUGGAUAAAAGCAGAUGACAACGCGGGUAUCCGGCAGCGAUCAAGAAAAAUAUUAUAUCAUAAACAAAGAGUAUUACGGAUUAUAGAGAUCGUACGCUCCAGUUUGCUUUCCGCUGAUUCCGAGGACGGAAUCUUUUUAAAGGGGGUAGAUUGUGACGACUCGGAUUUUAGAUAUUAUUUUAUUAUUUUUAUUCAUGAUUAUUCGAGAAAAAUGAGGAAUAAAAUUCUAUAUUUUAUUCCAGUUUUAUAAUUUUCAAAUAUUUUCCGACUCAUUAGGAUAUCGAAAUUUUGUUGUGUGUUUUGAAUUGAAUACCAUGUUAAAUAUAUGAAUUACUUGUUCUAUGAUUUAACUUUAGUAUCUGGAUGUGAUUUAUGCUUGUGUGUAUAUCUGUUACAAACUUUUGUGUUGUUUUAUAAAUAUUUAUGAUUUUCUUUAAAAUGGAUUAUAGGAAAUUGAAUUUCUUAAAAUACAAAAAUGACUUGUAAAAUUCUUUUAAUUACUUGAAAAUGGUAAUGAAUAUUUUUAGGAGUUUUGAAAAUAUUAAAAAUAUUAUUUUUGUAGAAGUUUCAUGUUUAAAUAUUUCUUGAACACAAUUAACUUCUAAAUUACGUAUAAAUUUCAGUAAUGCUUCAUAAAUCCCGAAACUUUUAUUUUAUUAGUUUUAUAAUAUUCCGGGAUUUAUAAAAAUAUGUUGGUGAUGUUUCCAAGAUACUAUAAUAGCGAGAUAUUCCGAUAAUAUAGUUAAAAGCGGGUCCGAGUCAAUUGGUUAUUCAGAUUAUUAAAGGCACGUGGAAGUACAAGACUUAGCCACGUACCCUUUUACAGCACCGCCUCGUUUUGCCGACCUUCAUAUUAUCAUAAAUCAAAAUCUCAUUCCUCUAAAUCUAUCGUCUCUCUCUCUCUCUCUCGCAUAUUUCUCCUUCCUCCCUCAAACCAACAGUCGCCUCCCCUAUAUGCUGUUUGUCGACAUCGAUGCCCUCCGUUUUUCUCUCCAACACUGCCGCUGUUCUCAGUUCUGCGAUUGAAGUCGCGACAACCGCUGUCUAAUCGACUACCGAUGCUCCGUUUCUGGCAACCCAGGCUCUGUCCUCCACCUUCUGACCAUAUUCUUGUUCGAAUUGAACGAGACGUUGAUCGAGGCAUUGAUCGAGAAGUGAUUGAAAUGGGUAUUCAAAAAUAGCUAAGUUGUGUUGCAAGUUGAAGUUGGGCAGAGAUUGUUAUAGAUAGAAUCUUGUCAGAAGCUGGCAGAAAGGAAUGAUAUGGCACUACAUAGUGUUAUUAGAAAUCUGAGCUAGACACCGGAGUUAAGAUAAUGUUAAAGAUGGUUCGCCUAUUUAGGCUAAGCAUAAGAGUAAGGCUAGGCGAGGAUUGCAAGUGACUAAGUUUCAACCUGAUGGUCAGGAAGAGUAUCCAAGAUCGAGUCUUUGGGACUAGUGGUAAUUAGAGUUGUCUAAAUUUGAUUUAGUUGUAAAAACAUGUAAUAGAAUUUAUUAGUUUUAUUUUUCUGAUUUCAAUACUAUAGCCUGUUUGCGAUCC